rnacentral:rRNA from 1 species
GACAGAGGGUGCAAACGUUGUUCGGAAUUACUGGGCGUAAAGCGCGUGUAGGCUGCUCGGAAAGUCGGAUGUGAAAGCCCUGGGCUCAACCCAGGAAGUGCAUUCGAAACUCCCGAGCUUGAGUUCCGGAGAGGAAGGCGGAAUUCUCGGUGUAGAGGUGAAAUUCGUAGAUAUCGAGAGGAACACCGGUGGCGAAGGCGGCCUUCUGGACGGUGACUGACGCUGAGACGCGAAAGCGUGGGGAGCAAACAGGAUUAGAAACCCCCGUAGUCC